rnacentral:tRNA from 3 species
CCCCGAGUGGCGGAAUUGGUAGACGCGCUGGACUCAAAAUCCGGUGGCCGUGAGGCCGUGCGAGUUCGAGUCUCGCCUUGGGGAC